GUGGAUUAGAUACCCGGGUAGUCCACGCUGUAAACGAUGAAUACUAGGUGUCUGGGGUCAAACCUAGGUGCCGCAGCUAACGCAUUAAGUAUUCCGCCUGGGGAGUACGCACGCAAGUGUGAAACUCAAAGGAAUUGACGGGGACCCGCACAAGCAGCGGAGCAUGUGGUUUAAUUCGAAGCAACGCGAAGAACCUUACCAGGUCUUGACAUCCUUCUGACCGAUCCUUAGCCGGAUCUUUCCUUCGGGACAGAAGAGACAGGUGGUGCACGGCUGUCGACAACU
rnacentral:rRNA from 1 species